rnacentral:rRNA from 1 species
GACGAACGCUGGCGGCGUGCUUAACACAUGCAAGUCGAACGGUAAGGCCCUUCGGGGUACACGAGUGGCGAACGGGUGAGUAACACGUGGGUGAUCUGCCCUGCACUUCGGGAUAAGCCUGGGAAACUGGGUCUAAUACCGGAUAGGACCCUGGGAUGCAUGUCCUGGGGUGGAAAGCUUUUGCGGUGUGGGAUGGGCCCGCGGCCUAUCAGCUUGUUGGUGGGGUGAUGGCCUACCAAGGCGACGACGGGUAGCCGGCCUGAGAGGGUGACCGGCCACACGGGGACUGAGAUACGGCCCAGACUCCUACGGGAGGCAGCGGUGGGGAAGAUUGCACAAUGGGCGCAAGCCUGAUGCAGCGACGCCGCGUGAGGGAUGACGGCCUUCGGGUUGUAAACCUCUUUCAGCACCGACGAAGCGCAAGUGACGGUAGGUGCAGAAGAAGGACCGGCCAACUACGUGCCAGCCGCCGCCGUAA